rnacentral:misc_RNA from 1 species
CGAAAUCAAGGAAGAGCAAAAACAUGGACCAGACAGGAAGAUCGGUUGCGAGGGAACGAGCUCUAUCUCCGCCCUUCUCAAAAACGACUGGCCACCUUGGGCUAAAUCGACCCAGCGGAGCCAUACGGGAAGAAUAUUACUCAGAUGUAUACACGCUUGAGAAAGAGCGAUCCCUUUCAGCGCCGAAAUUUCACAGUGACAACUCCCUCGGAAAGUGGCCCCCUGACAGAGUCUGGGCACAAGACAAUGUUCGAGACAAACAUCACUUGUAUGAUGAAAUUAAGGAAGAUGUUCCAAACAGUGACAGUCUCCAUGAUUACGAGCUAGCGAAGGACAUGGGCGUCAGUCAGUCAAAAUCAUAUUCCUUUUUAAAGGAAAAUGGCCCAGGUCGGAACAUUCGCUUGCUGUCAAGUAGCAGGAACAAGGACAACCGCCCUCCGGCUAAGGUCCCCAUCGUGAUAAAGAAAAAUAGCGCAACCGUGUUGAGUAAUAAUAAUGACAUUGAAAAAAAACCGCCUGGGGAUGAAGAAGGAUUUUCGAUCGCCCAUCCAAAGGAUUCGUUACCGAACAGGGUGCGUCUUGGUGACUACACUCAACCAGUGGAUGCUACCAACUUUACGUGGGGUCGAAACGACGAAUACUGCGAACCCUACGUUGCAGAACAACUUAUCAAAGAGGCAGCUAAGAGAAGACAGUCCGACAAUAAAGUGUCAGACAACAUGGACGUCAAUUCAGAAAGUACAGAUUAUAACCGAAUCAAUCGAAAGGCACCCAGAGAAUCUGGCCAGUCCCAGACCAAACCCAUCUCAUCGGGUUCUGGUAUCCAUCUUGGAAGCGAUGGCUACAACCACGCCAGUAGCUGGACAAGUAUCGCUAAUAAGAGUUCGGACUCGAGCCACGAUACAUAUGAAGAACCAUGGGAUUCACGCACAAGACAGAGGGAUUUACAAAGUAAGCUGAAUCGAGCUCAAAGUGAAGAAAUUCCAAAACAGUUUCCUCUUCCUGACUCUAGACGAAGUUCUCAAGAUCCAGCUGCUGUGAGACGUAAACCACAGCCGGCAGACAUGUACGAAGACGCAUGGGACACUCCGCUAAAACAAAAACUGUUAGAAGAGAAACUGAACGCUGCUAAGAGAGGUGGAGGAGCCGCUUCACGGUCCCCCACAUCCCCCCUCCCAUCUUCCCCACCCUCCACCUACGAGGAACCAUGGGAUAUCAAGAAGAGACAGAUGGAGUUGGAAGGCAGAUUAGAAGCUACCCACAUUCACAAGUCCCCUAUUGGAACCCCUAUUAGUCCCUCACGUCGCAGUCCUCAGCCCCGCCCUGGACUGGAUACCUACGAGGAGGCCUGGGACCUCAAGUCUGGGGCCAAGGCUGUCAGCUAUCUCAGAAGCACUUCCCAGCAGGACCGAGACCUGGCUCCCAGCUCCCCCCAGUCCCCCAACUCCGGCUCCCCAACCAACAAGCAGCUUCCUCGUCUGGUCACCCCAGCCACAGCAUGCACCAUCGGGGAGAGAAUCAACCCCAUCAUUCCCUUACACAAGCAGAGCUGGUACCAGGGCCGUAUUUCCCGAGCCGAUGCUGAGAACACGCUGCGUGUGUGCAAGGAGGGGAGCUACCUGGUCCGCGAGUCUGAGUCCGAGAGGGGCCAGUACUCUCUCUCCAUCAAGAGCCGUAUAAUGAACAUCCAUCUGAGGAUUACUAAGCGCUCAAAUGGACAGUUUAUUCUUGGUGAAAACAGUGCAUUAUUUGAUACGAUCCCUGAAAUGAUUGAUUACUACACCCAGCACCAGGUUCCUCUAAAGGGCACAGAGCACCUCACACUCUUGCACCCUGUGGAUCGCCACUGAGGUGCAGAGCUACACUGAAUUGUGGAUCUCCACUGAGGUGCAGAGCUACACUGAAUUGUGGAUCUCCACUGAGGUGCAGAGCUACACUGAAUUGUGGAUCGCCACUGAGGUGCAGAGCUACACUGAAUUGGGGAGCUACACUGAGGUGCAGAGCUACACUGAAUUGGGGAGCUACACUGAGGUGCAGAGCUACACUGAAUUGGGGAGCUACACUGAGGUGCAGAGCUACACUGAGGUGCAGAGCUACACUGAAUUGUGGAUCGCCACUGAGGUGCAGAGCUAAACUGAAUUGGGGAGCUACACUGAGGUGCAGAGCUACAUUGAAUUGUGGAGCUUCACUGAGGUGCAGAGCUACACUAAGGUGCAGAGCUACACUGAAUUCUGGAGCUACACUAAGGUGCAGAGCUACACUGAAUUCUGGAGCUACACUGAGGUGCAGAGCUACAUUGAAUUGUGGAGCUACACUGAGGUGCAGAGCUACACUAAGGUGCAGAGCUACACUGAUUUUUUUAGCUACACUAAGGUGCAGAGCUACACUGAAUUCUGGAGCUACACUUAGGUGCAGAGCUACAUUGAAUUGUGGAGCUACACUGAGGUGCAGAUCUACAUUGAAUUGUGGAUCUCCACUAAGGUGUGGAGCCAGACUGGACCAAGUUUAGUUACGCUCUCCACAGUGUUGACAGGAUGUGUGCUGAGAGCAUAAGGACUUCAAGGAUCAAUGUGAAUGUGCUAGAAUGCUAUUAGAGAUUUAGAGAUUUCAGAGUGAUAUCUUUCUGAUGACGACAAUUGGGUGUUAAAAUAUGGAUACAGUGGGGUAAUCUUAAGUAUGAUACAAACUGUGAUACUGUUGACAAAAGAUGAAACCCUGAUGAAAAGUGAUGAAGGAAGAUGACACAGUGAUGAAUAGUUUUGACGAAAGAUAACACUGUGCUUAAAACUGUUGAAGAAAGAAGACUUCGUGAUGAAUAUAGUUGAAGAAAGAUGACACAGUGAUGAAUAGUGUUGACAAAAAUAACACUGUGCUUAAAACUGUUGAAGAAAGAAGACUCAGUGAUGAAUAUAGUUGAAGAAAGAUGACACAGUGAUGAAUAGUGUUGACGAGAGAAGAUUGAGGUCAGAAAGGAUACCAUCAUGAUGAUAUUAUGUUUAGAACAUCAUGCUAUUUUCCUGAGGAGAAUCGACUUCUGGAUGGCAAGAGAAUUAUUACAAUUAUUUGCUGACUAUGUGUUUGUGUUGCCUGAAGCUGUGUCUGUCCUAUGACACUCGCUGUUACUGAGACAUGGCUUUAUGCAGUGAAUAUGUGUCCUUCUCAUAUUAAACACUGAGUACUCUUUCUAUAUCAUGUAUACUGAACAAAACAAGUUAGGGAUCAUGAAAACUUUAGCAAUAUAUUUUUGUAGUGUAGACUGAGCACCCAGUUUCAUAAAAAUAUCGGUAAAUAUAUUCAUGAUCCCUUACAUUUUUGGUUCAGUAUAGAUAUCGUGCAUGGAGGUGAAACUUCCGCAAGAACAUUCAGAUCUUUCCUUUGAACAAUUUUCCUGUUUUAAUGUAUAACCGAUUUGUUGAACAGUAUUACAGACCACAGCAUUUCAGCUUCUUUACUGUACAAAAAAAGUAUGCUGAAUUAUUUACAUAUCAUUUGCUUGUUGAAAUGAUGGUGGUCUAAAGGACCAGCCAUUUGAUAUUUGGUGAUGGGUGGAGUGGGGUAAAUUGUCCCAGAAAAUGCUUUUAAAAAUUAAUUAUGCUUCAGACUGUUGAAAAAAUAGAUCAUAUAAAAUACAUUAUUGUAAGGUUUUUAUUGUAACAAAAAAGUAUUUAGGCUUAUAGAUUUAAUUAAAACAAUAUCUGGUUUUGCAGAUAUCAGUUGAAAAGAUCAUGUCUCUAUACAAAAUCCUCCCCCCUGCCUCCACCGAAUUUCAAAUGGCAAGUCCCUUAUGACCUCAUUUGUCAGCUAGCAAGUAACUCCCAGCAAUAUGGUAUUUGUUAUUGCACACUAGAACCCACCGACGUGAUCAGCAAUUCCAUUAUUUUGCUUCACUUUAUUACACUAAAAGUCAUCUAUUACAUAAUGCCAAUACCAUGUAUACAGGGAGGCCUGAGGUGUGGAGGUGUGGAGUCACCUGUACUACACAGGCUUUGUGGUCAGCCACAUCAUCGACCUGCAACAGUGUCAUUGGAGAUUAUGUCGUGAAUAUCAAUGUCUGUUUGUAUUUGAAGCAGUUUUCACUUUGGUGGCUCUUGUGGCCUCAAAGGUAUUAUAAUAUUGGUUAUUGUGGCUACGUUUUGAAGCUCUUUUUCCAUCAUUUCUCAUUGUUAAUGAGUAAAAUUCAUCAAAACUGUGUAUUACCGUUAAUUUUUUUUCAAAAGUACAUUAAUACAAACAUAAUGAAUGUAUGUUACUAUUUCUUCAUGUAAGGUAAUACUUUUUUUAUAACAAAAAGGGGAAAAAUGUAAAAACAGGCCAAAUUGAAUUUAUUGUGUUAUGGGAAUUGAAUUGCCAUGUAGGCAAGAGGCCACCCUGACUGGAUACAUGGGAUUUUGUUUUGAACAAAAUGGACGAUUAUUUUCAUUAAAAAACACAUCAGUUAAGUGAAAUAGAUCCAAAUGGAGACAUGCAUCCAAAUGUUGUUUUGUUGAGGAUAUGUUGUUGCAUGUAUGUAGAAGCAACUGAAUCAAUUUUUUGUUUUUUUGUUUUUUUUUGUUUUUGUAUUUUUCUUCUUGUUUUUUGUUGUUUAACGCCGCACUCAGCAAUAUUCCAGCUAUAUGAUGGGGCAGUCUGUCAAUAAUCAAGUCUAGUCAAGACAAUCCAGUGACUGACAUCAUAAGCAUCAAUCCACGCAAUUGGGAUACAAUGACAUGCAUCAAGCAAGUCAGCGAGCCUGACCACCCGAUCCCUUGGUCGCCUCUUACGACAAGCAUAGUCGCCUUUCAUGGCAAACAUGGGUUGCUGAAAACCUAUUCUACCCCGGAUUUUCACGGAAUCAGUUAGUACAUCAUUUUGAUGCAUAUUCUUCAAAUGAUGAAAAUCUUGAAAAGUAGGAAAUAUCAUUGUGGCAGUGGUGUGUUAGCAUGGACAGAAGUAAUUCGAAUAGUGAACACAUGUUACAUGAGGUCCUGGUUAGUGGACUGAUUAGCAUAAAUGACUCAAUCUUGUGAUAUUAGUCUUAGUUUUAUCACAUAUGUUAUUACAUUAAAUGGUGAUGAAAUAAUGUCUAAUGAAAACAAAACAUCACUGCUUAUUAUAAAAGUGAAAUCCGACUUGUCGGUCCCACUAGGAGUUUUACAAUAUAUUUAUCAAUAAAUCCGUGUUCAGUCAUGUACUGGACUACUUGGAAGCAAUACAAUGUGGUUACCAUCGUUACAGUGAUUUAUGCAAAGUCCCUUCAAUCAGUGGUUCAAUAGGCAUUUCAUUAACCAUUGAACAGCUGCUUGAUUGACCUUUACACACACUUAUGUAUAAUCAGGUGUGCAAUACCUCAUAAGUGAGGUGUAGAGGGUCAAGCAAUCAUGUGAGUACUGCCUGUUUCAUCUGCUUGAUUUCCAUGCUAAUAAGUAUUCUUUGGCGAAACAGUUCUAGUUCACCAAAGAAAACAAUGUGAUAUUAUUUAUGACCGAUGGUUGGGGGUUAACUGUAGGUUGAUAUGUUUGGGAAUAUUCACUGACAUUUACUUUUCUUUGCACUGGUUCACUUGUAUUGGUAUAUGUGUACAUUUGUACAUUUUGAUAAUAUUAUGAUCAUGAUAUCUUAUGAUUGUGUUUCAUUAGUAUAUGUCCUCUCUCUAGCAUUAUCCAUUUGUGCUUGUUAAUAACAAUAAGUAUGUCUCAUAUCUCCUCCAGCAAUGUCCAUUUGGUGCUUACUAACUGAUGUGUCCCUGAAGUACUCAAAAUGUUCUCUGCUCUUUUCCUAACAGGUUUGGAUGAGGAAUAUAGCAUCAAAUGAUUGAUCUUGAUUUCUGAAAGCUAAACAAUUAAAACAUGUAAAAGAAAGGAAUAGAUUUGAUUUUAUGUAUUGAUAUAUAUAAUACAUUUUGUACAAGUCUACCAAAUUGAAAGGCAGUGCAAUGGCUAUAGUUAACUGCAUGUUACCAUGGUUACAGCCCAUAUUAUCAUGCUCUUUAGGGCGAUCUUUGUAUUAGACGGCAAUAUUUUAAAAGUACACCUCAAGAUCAUUGGCCAACAAGCAAUGGACAUGUAAUAUUAUGUCAUUGGAAGUGUUAUCAUCUCAUAAACCUUCUCCUCUAACUAUACCAUGUAUUCUAUGCUAAUACAUACAUGUGUUAUGAUCCUUGCCUUGCUUCAUUGUGGUACUAUAGUGUUUUCAGUGUGUGUGACUUACACUGCAGCAGUAUUUUAAACACAUUCCAAACUGUGUGUCUGUUGUGUAUUUGAUUCAGGGGAGACAACUCCUGUGCAUGAUUGUGAAAUGGUGUACAUAUUUUCUUUCCAUGCAGUAGUGCUUUUGUACUGAAAUAUAUUUCAUACUACAAAAAGCAGGGUUUUUCAGGCUGUUUCGUUUAAUGUUCAUUAAAGAGUUUAUCAUUGAAAUGAUGAUCGUUUUUUAAUCAGUCACGCUAUUAUAAAUGUUUCCGUUAUUUAUGAUAUAAACCCAAACAAUGGCUGUUAAUUACAGAAUAUUUGUGCUAAAAAUCAAACUUUAAUGUGGAACACUGUAUGAUAUUAUGGGAAAAUAUAUUUUAGUUGAAUAUUACAAUAUUUGUGUAUGUUUUAUGGAGUUGUUCAAGAAGAUAUUCAAUGGUGCUUUUAUGCUGUUACUGAGUAAAUAGGAUGCUGUCAUAUCAUACCGAUCAAAAUAUGUGCUCUGUGAGCUUCCGUCUUGUUGAAACUGUUCGUAUGGUGACAGUCACUUAGCAUGUGAGGGAAGAAAGCACUAACACAUUGAUUUUCAUGCCUUAUGUGUUAAACAUGUUUAAAGAUCAAAUACUAUAUAUAUCUGAAAAUAUAAUGAGUGGAUGUUAUUUCAAGUGAAUAUAUAAUAAUAUGACUAUUUUCAGUCUGCCUCAUUGACUGUAAUUUUCAGACCAUCAGGUAGAAAAUACUUGAUAUAUCACGUAUAUAGGACAUGUGUCAAACAACGUUAUUAAAACAUGUUUAUCUCAUUUUGUGACCUGAAAAGGUGACAUUUUCGCCACUUACUCUGCCACUCAUAAUAAUAUCAAUUUUGUCAGGUUACUUGAUGAGAUAAACAUGUUAUUUGACAAACAAUGUCAAUAUCCCCUACAUGUUCGAUGUACAGAAGGUUGAUGUUAUUUUGAUGGUCCAUGCAUGUUUAUAUGGUACUGAAAGUACAGUUGUAUAACGUGUUGCCAUGCUGUGUGUGUAUUCUGUAGUUGAGCACAAGGACAUGCCUUACAUGGAUGCUAGUUUAACACAACAAAAUUCAAAACAAGCUUUAUUUUCAUAGGUAGUACUUUUACAGUGGCAGAUCUUUUUGAAGGGGGAGGUGGGGGGUUGCAUAAUGUGGAAUUCUUAACUUGUCAUACUAAAGGACCAAACAGUUGGUAUUCUGAAAGGGGUCUUGCAUUUUCGAAAAAUAAUAAUUGUCCGAGUAUUGCUGACAAUGGUAAUUAUGCUUCACACUUGGGAAAAAAAGAAAUUUUCUAAAACAAAACAUACAUUGUUGCAAGUUGUUUCUCGAAAAAACAUAGUUCGGCUCAUAGUUCAAUGGUUAAUUUAAAGAAUAUCUGGCUUUGCAACUGAAGCUGAAAAACUAUCUAGUCUCCAUACAAAAUCCCUGACCCCACCAGGUUCUCAAAUGGACGGUCCCUAUGGAGCAAAUUUGUAUUAUGAAAGGGAAUAACUCCUUCUAGGCCUUCAUGUGCAUUUGGGUAGCCUAGUUGAUCAAGUGUUUGCACGUCACACCCAGGACCAUGUUUGAUUCCCCAUGUGGGUACUGUAUGUGAAACCCACAAUUGGUUUUCUUCACCACAUUACUUGAAUGUGCCUAUAAGCCUAUUCACACUUCACUCUGCACUGGUUGAGGUCAUCCUGCAGAGUGCACAUCACUUCGUGUCACCACUUGACAAUGAUGCUCCUUCAAAAGGGGUGACACAUAAUUGCGAGUACUUGUAAAGUGCUGGAAAUGUUUUGUGUCAGGAUUUGUUUGAAAUCUUCUAGAGCAGAUAUGGAAGAGCAAGUAUGACAACCAUUUCAUAUAUUUGAGAUUAUGAAGUAACUUGAUUAGAGUAGUGUCUAAAGCUAUCAUUUGUUGUCCACAAAACCACAAGAUUCGUCCUAAAUAUCCUAUAAGGAAUAUUCUCAUAACUGUAGUAGGUAGUCAUAUUUGUUUUACAAACAAGCAAAUCUACUACAUUGCUUUCCUUAUUUUGUCUUGUGCACAAUGAGGGGCGUCUGUGGUCCAGGCAUCAAAGACGCCACAAUUCACUGUGCAGAGGUUUCUGGCAAGCCACUGGGAUAGAACCUCUGCAAAGUGAAUUAUGGCAUUUCAUCCUGGUGGCUUGCCAGAAACCUACAAUCAUGGAUCAGAGUCCCAAGUUUCCACUGAUCAUGAUUCUAGGUUUGUCAGCAUCCAUAAUCAUGGGUUUCACCAAAUUUGUCAUGUCGAAGACCUGCAUCACUUUGGGCUUUCCUCCCACAUCAAGCUGAUACUAUCAGGCAGCAGGUUUCCCUGUAAAACAGUGGUAUUAAAAUGGGAUGUUUUCUCUGAUACAGGUAUCUGCAAGGAGGGUAUCAUGUCGGAGUAAAUGAUCUGGUUUCAGUGAUGUAGACCUGGAAAGACUUUUGUCAUCAGUACACUAAUCUACGGCUCUGAUAGGUAGAAACAAAUGGACUUCAGUACCCAUGUCUCAAAUCCUGACCCAAUUCGGACUCCAGUCAAAAUGCAUCCAGAAACAGUACCAUUUCUCUACCAUGUAUACAACACCUGUGUUGGAGAAGUGAAAAUGUGAGUUUUCUACCCAGAUAAGGGGCGGUCGGGUAGCCUAGUGGUUAAAGCGUUCGCUCGUCACACCGAAGACCCGGGUUCGAUUCCCGACAUGGGUACAAUGUGUGAAGCCCAUUUGUGGUAUACCCCCGCCGUGAUAUUGCUGGAAUAUUGCUAAAAGCGGCGUAAAACCAAACUCACUCACUCACUCUCCCCAGGAUGGGUCAUGAAGUCAUUGACAUAGGAUUAAAUCCCAUCUAAACACUUCUCUUACUUAGUUCCCCAAGAGCCAAUCAGGACACUGACAUAUUCUUUGCAAUUACACUGGAAAAGGGGGCUGGGGACUAAGGCACCGGAAUUUGAUAUGCGGUGUUGCAUCCCUUGUCAGCCAGAAACCUGUGAUUGUGUUCAAACCCCUAUUCACCCUGAUUAUGUUUCUCGGUUUGUAAGCACCAUACCCAUGCCAAGGGGUUGCACCAAAAUCGUAAACGUCCGAGACCUGCACCACUUUGGGCUUUCCUCCCACACUUGGCUUACACAAUAAUGAUAUAACUGGAAUACUGGUUAAAGCAGCAUUAAACCCAACUCACUCAUUCUUGACUUGAACCCUCAGCUGUGCAUUGAAUAAGUUUUAUAGAGUAAAGAGUUUUAAGAGUAAACAUUGAUAUCAGGUUGUCUUGUUCAUUUCAAUUUUCUUUUAUUCCUGGAUAGACUCUAUUUAAAUUCUUCUGUUCUUGUAGAACUAUUGCUUAUUAUAUGUGCUUAUGUACGCAACCUUUAACCAUAUUCUCAAUGUGUCAAAAUGGUUAUAACCUUUGUCUUCCUUAAGACUGUUAUUGUUUAUAUGAAAUAAAAUCAUAUCUCAAACA